GCCCCGGUGGUGUAGUGGUUAUCAUGCAUGACUAGUAUCCGGGAGAUGCGGGUUCGAAUCCUGCUCGGGAUA
rnacentral:tRNA from 1 species